UUUAAUUGAAGAGUUUGAUCAUGGCUCAGAUUGAACGCUGGCGGCAGGCCUAACACAUGCAAGUCGGGCGGU
rnacentral:rRNA from 1 species